rnacentral:rRNA from 1 species
CAAUAUGUCAGCGGCAGACGGGUGAGUAACGCGUGGGAACGUACCUUUUGGUUCGGAACAACACAGGGAAACUUGUGCUAAUACCGGAUAAGCCCUUACGGGGAAAGAUUUAUCGCCGAAAGAUCGGCCCGCGUCUGAUUAGCUAGUUGGUGAGGUAAUGGCUCACCAAGGCGACGAUCAGUAGCUGGUCUGAGAGGAUGAUCAGCCACAUUGGGACUGAGACACGGCCCAA